rnacentral:rRNA from 1 species
UACGGAGGGGGCUAGCGUUGUUCGGAAUCACUGGGCGUAAAGCGUGCGUAGGCGGCCAUUCAAGUCAGAGGUGAAAGCCCAGGGCUCAACCCUGGAACUGCCUUUGAAACUAGAUGGCUGGAACACGGGAGAGGUGAGUGGAAUUCCGAGUGUAGAGGUGAAAUUCGUAGAUAUUCGGAAGAACACCAGUGGCGAAGGCGGCUCACUGGACCGUUGUUGACGCUGAGGCACGAAAGCGUGGGGAGCAAACAGGAUUAGAUACCCUGGUAGUCCACGCCGUAAACGAUGAUAACUAGCUGUUGGGGCUCUUUGAGCUCCAGUGGCGCAGCUAACGCAUUAAGUUAUCCGCCUGGGGAGUACGGCCGCAAGGUUA